CGUUGCUGCCACUACUAGAACAGUAUGCAGGCGUAGGUUCUUAUGACCAAAACACUCUCAGGGGGGCCCCAUGGCAAGUUCAGUCACAAGGCGCUAACACUGACAUAUGUACGGGCAACCAACCUCAACUAGCUAGUAUGGCUAAUCAAGGGCCUUCAUGCAGCACGUGGCAUCAGCCAGCACCCAUGUACCUGCCAUCGACGUCAUACACAGGUCAGUCCAUAAAAAAAGUGAAGUUGCGGAUGUUCAAUUAGCAGAAGGGGCAUAGUUGGCAG